ACGUAGGUGGCAAGCGUUAUCCGGAAUUAUUGGGCGUAAAGAGCGCGCAGGUGGUUGAUUAAGUCUGAUGUGAAAGCCCACGGCUUAACCGUGGAGGGUCAUUGGAAACUGGUCGACUUGAGUGCAGAAAAGGGAAGUGGAAUUCCAUGUGUAGCGGUGAAAUGCGUAGAGAUAUGGAGGAACACCAGUGGCGAAGGCGGCUUCCUGGUCUGUAACUGACACUGAGGCGCGAAAGCGUGGGGAGCAAACAGGAUUAGAUACCCUGGUA
rnacentral:rRNA from 1 species